rnacentral:lncRNA from 1 species
ACGUCUGCUCUUCCAUCUCCCAGCAGCGAAUCCCCCGUCCUUCCAGGCGGUCGGGAAAUGUGGUGUAUGGGAGGCGACGUUCUCGGGUGUUUGCGACGAUGCAAGUCCCCCCGACAGGGGCUUGUCCCAGAUUGGGCGCCCGGCCCGUCUCCGCCGUUGCGCGCCUGGGAUGGAGCCUCCCGUGAGUCGGGUU